rnacentral:rRNA from 1 species
CAGUAGCCGCGGUAAUACAGAGGGUGCGAGCGUUAAUCGGAUUUACUGGGCGUAAAGCGUGCGUAGGCGGCUUUUUAAGUCGGAUGUGAAAUCCCUGAGCUUAACUUAGGAAUUGCAUUCGAUACUGGGAAGCUAGAGUAUGGGAGAGGAUGGUAGAAUUCCAGGUGUAGCGGUGAAAUGCGUAGAGAUCUGGAGGAAUACCGAUGGCGAAGGCAGCCAUCUGGCCUAAUACUGACGCUGAGGUACGAAAGCAUGGGGAGCAAACAGGAUUAGAUACCCCCGUAGUCCCUGUCUCUUAUCC